rnacentral:rRNA from 1 species
UGNUCUGUCACUGACGCUGAGGCUCGAAAGCGUGGGUAGCGAACAGGAUUAGAUACCCUGGUAGUNCACGCCGUAAACGAUGAGUGCUAGGUGUUAGGUCCUUUCCGGGACUUAGUGCCGCAGCUAACGCAAUAAGCACUCCGCCUGGGGAGUACGACCGCAAGGUUGAAACUCAAAGGAAUUGACGGGGGCCCGCACAAGCGGUGGAGCAUGUGGUUUAAUUCGAAGCAACGCGAAGAACCUUACCAGGUCUUGACAUCCCGAUGCCCGCUCUAGAGAUAGAGUUUUUCUUCGGAACAUCGGAGACAGGUGGUGCAUGGUUGUCGUCAGCUCGUGUCGUGAGAUGUUGGGUUAAGUCCCGCAACGAGCGCAACCCUUAUUGUUAGUUGCCAUCAUUGAGUUGGGCACUCUAGCGAGACUGCCGGUAAUAAACCGGAGGAAGGUGGGGAUGACGUCAAAUCAUCAUGCCCCUUAUGACCUGGGCUACACACGUGCUACAAUGGUUGGUACAACGAGUCGCAAGCCGGUGACGGCAAGCUAAUCUCUGAAAGCCAGUCUCAGUUCGGAUUGUAGGCUGCAACUCGCCUACAUGAAGUCGGAAUCGCUAGUAAUCGCGGAUCAGCACGCCGCGGUGAAUACGUUCCCGGGCCUUGUACACACCGCCCGUCACACCACGAGAGUUUGUAACACCCAAAGUCGGUGAGGCAACCAUAUAGGAGCCAGC